rnacentral:rRNA from 1 species
GUGCGGGAUCUAUACAUGCAGUCGACGCUUCUUUUUCCACCGGAGCUUGCUCCACCGGAAAAAGAAGAGUGGCGAACGGGUGAGUAACACGUGGGUAACCUGCCCAUCAGAAGGGGAUAACACUUGGAAACAGGUGCUAAUACCGUAUAACAAUCAAAACCGCAUGGUUUUGAUUUGAAAGGCGCUUUCGGGUGUCGCUGAUGGAUGGACCCGCGGUGCAUUAGCUAGUUGGUGAGGUAACGGCUCACCAAGGCCACGAUGCAUAGCCGACCUGAGAGGGUGAUCGGCCACAUUGGGACUGAGACACGGCCCAAACUCCUACGGGAGGCAGCAGUAGGGAAUCUUCGGCAAUGGACGAAAGUCUGACCGAGCAACGCCGCGUGAGUGAAGAAGGUUUUCGGAUCGUAAAACUCUGUUGUUAGAGAAGAACAAGGAUGAGAGUAACUGUUCAUCCCUUGACGGUAUCUAACCAGAAAGCCACGGCUAACUACGUGCCAGCAGCCGCGGUAAUACGUAGGUGGCAAGCGUUGUCCGGAUUUAUUGGGCGUAAAGCGAGCGCAGGCGGUUUCUUAAGUCUGAUGUGAAAGCCCCCGGCUCAACCGGGGAGGGUCAUUGGAAACUGGGAGACUUGAGUGCAGAAGAGGAGAGUGGAAUUCCAUGUGUAGCGGUGAAAUGCGUAGAUAUAUGGAGGAACACCAGUGGCGAAGGCGGCUCUCUGGUCUGUAACUGACGCUGAGGCUCGAAAGCGUGGGGAGCAAACAGGAUUAGAUACCCUGGUAGUCCACGCCGUAAACGAUGAGUGCUAAGUGUUGGAGGGUUUCCGCCCUUCAGUGCUGCAGCUAACGCAUUAAGCACUCCGCCUGGGGAGUACGACCGCAAGGUUGAAACUCAAGAGAAAUUGUUUGACGGGGAAUGA